rnacentral:misc_RNA from 1 species
GAUGAAGAACGUAGUGAAAUGCGAUACGUAAUGUGAAUUGCAGAAUUCAGUGAAUCAUCGAAUCUUUGAACGCACAUUGCGCCUGCCAGCACUCUGGCAGGCAUGCCUGUUCGAGCGUCAUUUCAACCAUCAAGCCCUAGGCUUGCGUUGGAGCCCUGCGGCUGCCGCAGGCCCCUAAAAGCAGUGGCGGGCUCGCUAUCACACCGAGUGCAGUAGAUUACUCUUCGCUCAGGGCGUGUGGCGGGUUCCAGCCGUGAAACCCCCUACUUCUCAAGGUUGACCUCGGAUCAGGUAGGAAUACCCGCUGAACUUAAGCAUAUCAAUAGCGGAGGA